AGAGUUUGAUCCUGGCUCAGGAUGAACGCUGGCGGCGUGCCUAACACAUGCAAGUCGAGCGAGAAGUAAAGAAAUGAAGCUUCGGUAGAUUUUCAUUAUGGAAAGCGGCGGACGGGUGAGUAACGCGUAGGCAACCUGCCCUGUACAGGGGGAUAGCCACCCGAAAAGGUGAUUAAUACCCCAUGAUGCAAGAGAUACACAUGUAUCACUUGUCAAAGAUUUAUCGGUAUGGGAUGGGCCUGCGUCUGAUUAGCUAGUUGGUAGGGUAACGGCUUACCAAGGCAACGAUCAGUAGCCGACCUGAGAGGGUGAUCGGCCACAUUGGAACUGAGACACGGUCCAAACUCCUACGGGAGGCAGCAGUGGGGAAUAUUGCACAAUGGGGGAAACCCUGAUGCAGCAACGCCGCGUGAAGGAAGAAGGCCUUCGGGUUGUAAACUUCUGUCCUAGGGGAAGAAACAAAUGACAUUACCCUUGGAGGAAGCCCCGGCUAACUACGUG
rnacentral:rRNA from 1 species